rnacentral:sRNA from 1 species
AGAUCAACAGUUCAGGCUGUUACUCCACAGUGUGUGUGGAGCUGGACCUUCAGAACCUGGCCGUCAACACCAUUCUCCAGUCUCACCAUGUCAACGACAUGGAGGGGGCCGACAGCAUGGGGAUCAGCUUCGACGUGAUCCAGCAGGCCUCCCUGGAGGACAUGAUCACGGGUGGUCAGGCUGCCAGUGCCCCGGCCAGCUACGAUGAGACAGCCCUGUGCUCUAACACCUUCAGGUGCCACCCUCUCUGGGAAGGAGUGUUACUAAUAGAAGGGUCUUAUCCUUUGCCCUUAAUUUGGAAAGCUAAGGUCUAAGACAGGGUCCAUUGGGCUUCCCUUAGUCUUAAUGGCAGAGCCAGAGACCACUGUGUGGCGAGUUUCCCAUCUUCAGUCUGUUGUCUUUACCACCGUGUGGGUCCAGCCUGGUCCCUGGCGACUGUUCAGUGUGCUGCCUCUGACCUCCCUGUGGCCAGAGGUACUUCACACAGAGUCUUUCUAACCAGGGCCACUUUU